UACAGAGGUCUAAAGCGUUGUUCGGAUUCACUGGGCGUAAAGGGUGCGUAGGUGGCGUGGUAAGUCGGGUGUGAAAUUUCGGAGCUUAACUCCGAAACUGCAUUCGAUACUGCCGUGCUUGAGGACUGGAGAGGAGACUGGAAUUUACGGUGUAGCAGUGAAAUGCGUAGAGAUCGUAAGGAAGACCAGUGGCGAAGGCGGGUCUCUGGACAGUUCCUGACACUGAGGCACGAAGGCCAGGGGAGCAAACGGG
rnacentral:rRNA from 1 species